GACGAACGCUGGCGGCGUGCUUAACACAUGCAAGUCGAACGGAAAGGCGCGGCUCUUGCGCGGUGCUCGAGUGGCGAACGGGUGAGUAACACGUGAGUAACCUGCCCUUGACUGUGGGAGAACUUCAGGAAACUGGGGCGAAUACAGGAGAGGAGCUCCUGCUGCAUGGGGGGGGAUGGAAAGUGUCGGCGGUGGUGGAUGGAAUCGAGGCUUAUGAGCUUGAUGGUGGGGUAGGGGCGGACCAAGGUUUCGACGGGUAGGCGGCCUGAGAGGGUGACCAGCCACAUUGGGCCUGAGGUACGCCCCAGUCUGCUACGGGACGCAGCAGUGGGGAGUAUUGCACAAUGGGCGGACGCCUGAUGCAGCAACGCUCCGUGCGGGAUGACGGCCUUCGAGUUGUAAACCGCUUUCGCCUGUGACGAAGCGUUAGUGACGGUACUUGGUAAAGAAGCCCCGGCUAACUACGUG
rnacentral:rRNA from 1 species